UCGGAUAUGGUGUAACGGCUAACAUUGCCGCCUCUCAUGAGUCCGCGGCAGCUCGGGGUUCGAUUCCCCGUAUCCGAA
rnacentral:tRNA from 1 species